rnacentral:lncRNA from 1 species
UCAUAUAUAUGUUAACCAUAUUAGGUAAUUAUGUAGUUUUUAUUUAACUAAUUAAUUUGAUAGUUAGUUUAAUAAAAAACAUAGUAUAUGUUUAUAUGGAUCAACUUAUUUUUGUAAUAAUUCUAAGAAUCAUUUUCGUGAUGACACGUGGCUACGAAAAUAUGUUGUAAUGCUCCAGGAUUAAUAUAUAGGGGAUGUUUAAGACACCGUAUUUUAUCACACGAAAUUGUUAUGUAGAAAGGCUACACCGCAUAUUUUUUUUUUCUCUAAUUGUGUUUUCAAGUUUUAUGGUUUUAUUAAGGGUUUUUUAAUUUUUUUCCGAAUUUUACUAUUUCGAAAUUCAAACCCUAAACUCUAAAACUCAACUCUAAACCCCAAACCAUCAAUCCUAAACCCUAUUUCUUUUUUGAAAUACGAACCCUAAACCCUAAACUAUCAAUCCUAAACCCUAUUUUUUUUUGAAAUACGAACCCUAAACCCUGAAACAUCAACUCUAAACCCUAAACCCCGAAACAUAAACUCUAAACCCUAAACCUUCAACUCUAAACCCUAAAACAUCAACUCUAAACCCUAAACCCUAAACUUCAACUCUAAACCCUAAACCAUCAACACUAAACCCUAACUCUCAACACUAAACCCUAAACCCUAAAAAGUAAACUCUAAACCCUAAAAAAUUAACCCUAAACCCUAAAACAUCAACUAUAAACCCUAAACCCCAAACCUUCAACUCUAAACCCUAAACUCUAAACCCUAAACCCUAAACCCUAAACCCUAAAACCCUAGAGUUGGUGUUUUAGGGCUUAGAUUUGAAUGUUUAGGGUUUUAGGGUUUAGGGUUUAUGUUUAGGGUUUAGAGUUGAUGUUUUAGGGUUUAGAUUUGAAGGUUUAGGGUUUUAGGGUUUUAGGGUUUAUGGUUCGAAUUUCAGAAAAAUAUAGGGUUUAGGGUUAAGGGUUUACGUUUAGGGUUUAGAGUUGAUGUUUUAGGGUUUAGAUCUGAAGGUUUAGAGCUUAGGGUUUAGAGUUGGUGUUUCGGGGUUUAGGGUUUAGAGUUGGUGUUUCGGGGUUUAGGGUUUAGAGUUGGUGUUCCAUGGUUUAGGGUUUAGAGUUGAUGAUUUAGGGUUUAAAGUUGAUGUUUUAAGUUUAGAUUUAUGGUUUAGGGUUUACGUUUAGGGUUUAGAGUUGAUGUUUUAGGGUUUAGAUUUGAAAGUUUAGGGUUUAGGGUUUAAAGUUUAGAGUUGAUGUUUAGGGGUUUAUGGUUUAGAGUUGAUGUUUCAUAGUUUAGGGUUUAGAGUUGAUGAUUUAGGAUUUAGAGUUUAGAGUUGAUGUUUUAAGUUUAGAUUAGUUAACCUUAUGUUUUUUUUGUCAAAGUUAAUCAAAUGGUUAUAAUUGUCUUUUACCAUUCAUUAAAGAUGGUGGUAAAAGUGGUUAGUGUAAACAUGAAAAGUGAUACUUUGA